rnacentral:tRNA from 1 species
GGGGGCGUAGAUCAAUUGGUUAGAUCGUUUCCCUGUCACGGAAAAGGUUGCCGGUUCGAGCCCGGUCGCUCCCGCCA